UUCAGGGUAUGUAUGACUAAAUAUCUACAUCUAUUCUGCAGCAUUUUACACACCAGAGUAGACAAGUGUGUCCUGCAACAACCGGGUGGACAUUUGAGUGUUCUGUAACAACUGGGUAGACACUUGAGUGUUCUGUAACAACUGGGUAGACACUUGAGUGUUCUGUAACAACUGGGUAGACACUUGAGUGUUCUCUAACAACUGGGUAGACACUUGAGUGUUCUGUAACAACUGGGUAGACACAUGAGUG